rnacentral:rRNA from 1 species
UACGUAGGUGGCAAGCGUUGUCCGGAUUUACUGGGCGUAAAGAGCGCGCAGGCGGUCGUGCAAGUCGCGUGUGAAAGCCCUCGGCUCAACCGAGGAAUUGCGCCCGAAACUGCUGGGCUUGAGUGAGACAGAGGUGAGCGGAACUGAUGGUGGAGCGGUGAAAUGCGUUGAUAUCGGGAGGAACACCUGAGGCGAAGGCGGGCUACUGGGCUGAUACUGACGCUGAGGCGCGAAAGCUAGGGGAGCAAACGGG